AGUGCGACACAUGGUGACAUGGGAGAUAACGGAAUGGUCACAUACUCUUUGAGAAACGGGACAGAUCAGUUCGCCAUUGACGCCCACACUGGGCAGAUAACUCUUGUCUCUGCCUUGACCUCCGGGGACGUGACCUUUAUAGUUCGCGCAACUGACAACGGAGAUACUGCCUUAUCAAGUGACGCUCAAGUCCUGGUCAAAAGCUCGGCUGCCGUUCUUCUGGGCUGAUAGAACUCGCUACCGGAGCACAGUUCUGAAGACUGUAUCGUUCACAGGGCUUCAGCCACCCACAAGUUUCGAUUUAAAAAGAAAAUUUCCUGUACAUUUUGGACAUUAAAAGAAAUUCCCCUAUUGGAAGGAUGGUAUGUUCA